UGUGAAAUGUCAAGGAAAAGGUCAUAUAGCAGCUAACUGUAGAAGAGGGAAUAGUAGGUCUGGAAGUAGAAAUAGAUACAAUGAACAAAAUAACAGUAGAUAUAGGAGUAGAGAUAGGAAUGACAGGGGAAAUUAUAGAAAUAGGAGUUACAGUAGGGAAUACAAAAACAAAGGUACAGAUAGGAUAUAUUUCAUGGAAGGAAAUAGGAACAAUUUUGCAGUGUACCCAGGGUUUGUAGAUAGAAUUCCGGUGGAAUUAAUCAGGGAUUCAGGUUGUAACACUUUGGCAGUAAAAACUAAAUUUGUCAAACCUCAUUGGUAUAAAGGGUUUACUAGGAAAGUAGAAUUAGCAGAUGGCACCGUAAGGGAAUUUAAAGCCUAUAAGGGGUAUACAUUGAAACUCCAUUUUUCACUGGUUAUUGUGAUGGCAUUGCAAUACCAGAAAUGAGAUAUGAUAUGUUAGUAGGAAACAUAAAAGGAGUUAAAGAAUGUUCAAGAAAAGAAUUAGAAGACUGGCAAAACAAAUACAAAAACAUAAGACAAAAUCAUGAAAACAUAGAAACACAAAAUAUAACAAGUAUGGUAAUAACAAGAUCAAUGGAUAAACAAGAU
rnacentral:sRNA from 1 species